rnacentral:rRNA from 1 species
AUGUGCGUUCCGAAAGAAAGAGGUGGGAUGGGUUUCCGUGAUAUACACAACUUUAAUUUGGUGCUACUGGCCAAGCAGUGUUGGAGACUCAUUGAGCAUCAUGGCUCGCUAUGUGCAAGGUUGCGUGCGAAAUAUUAUCCUAGUUGUGAAUUGAUUAACUGCAGUUUGAAGAAAGGUUCUUCUUAUGUGUGGCAGAGCAUUUGGGCGGGAGUCCGGACUUUCAAGAAAGGAGGCAUUUGUAGGGUGGGAAAUGGCCUUAAAAUAAAUAUAUGGGAGGACUGCUGGGUGCCGAACAGCUCCUCCAGGAAAAUUGUCACUUCACGCGGGAAUAGAGUGUUUACCCGGGUUAAUGAACUUAUUGAUCCAGUAUCCGGAGGGCGGGUUGAGAAUCUCAUCAGAGAAUUUUUUUGGCCCAUCGAUGUUGAUCGCAUAUUGCAAAUUCUAUUGCAUCAGGAUGAUACUGAGGACUACGUGGCGUGGCACCUAACGAAGACGGGAGUAUUCAGUGUACGUUCUGCCUAUUAUAAACAGUGGGAAGAUUCAUAUGCCAGUACUGAGCCGAGCUCUCUCUCGAGUGGUUCUGCGCCACACCCGAUAUGGAAGAAAUUGUGGAGUCUCAAGGUGCCAAACAAAGUGAAAAUCUUCAUUUGGCGAUCAUUACAUAAUGCUAUUCCUUGCUUUGGUGUACUUGCUGAUCGACACAUUUCUACGUCGGCGCAAUGUCCGGUCUGCAAACAGCACGCGGAGGACGUGGCGCAUGCGCUUUCCUGA